GGGGAGAGACACUACAUCCAGAGCAUAGCAACUACACAGAGGAGGAACGCUCGCUCUGCUACUAAUUAAUCAAGGCUCCACUGCGCAGUAUCCUAAGAUGAUACUGCAAGGUUGAGAGCAGAAACCUUGGAACGGGACAAUACUAAUAACAAAGCUGCUCCACACUGACAAGAAUCCAAGACCUGAGUUUUGUGCUGCUUCAACAACAGAAACAGAUCACUUCACCAAUGAAAGGAACCUGAGCAAGGAAAUCAAAGAAGGCUUAGCUUUUUUUGACAUUCCUGUUAAGAGAAGGGGUUGGUUGUCCCUCCUCUUGAUUCAGGAAAAGUUUGUUUUCCUUCAUCAACAGAUGCCAUACCAGUUUGGAGCUGGCCUUUAUGGGGACUGACAGUUUCUGCUUUGGUUUUUGGAGCCCUAAGCUGUCACAAGAGAAGACUGCUGGAGGUACCAUGUGGAGAGGCUCUGAGAGGACAUGCAGAGAGUGACAGGAGCCCAGUUUAACCCACUCCCCCGUUGUCCCCUCUUAAGCUGCCAGGACAGGGACAAAGCUACUUUGGAUUCUCCCAGCAGCCCAGUGAACAUCUGAAUUCUACUUGUCACCUUCCUCAACUGUAGCAGAAUCCCACUGAGGAUUUCCAGAAAUCCUGACCUACAAAAAUAGACAUUCGAUAAAAGUGUGACUUUUAAAAAAUAGAGAUAAAUGCAUCUAACAUAAAUGUGGUCAUUUCAAGGCAUAGAAUUCUCUGGCAUUUAGCACUUUCAAAACUGUGCAAUCACCACGUCUGUUUAAUCCUCAAGUCUUUUUUUUUAAUCAGCCCCAAAGGAAGCACCACGCACAUCUAACAGUCACCCUCUAGGCCCUUCUCCCUCAGCUCCUGGCAACCACAAAUCUGCUUUGUCUGUAUGAAUUUACAUUAACCUGGAUAUUCCAUAUAUAUCAA